rnacentral:lncRNA from 1 species
AUGGGCUGGCCUCCCUUCUGGGAGCUUUCCCAAGCCAGGCUGGAAUCCCUGGGACCUGGAGCCACGUGGAGACAGAGGGACCUUCACUCCUUGUCUGAGAGGACCUUCCUUCUGCGUUCUCUUCUCUUCCUGAGGGCGUUUAUUUCUCAAGACCGUGGAGCCCACUCGGUCCUCCCUGCACUGCGGUGGUCUGCGUCCCAGGCCUUCCGAGUGGCCUCAGGACAGUAUCCAAUAAAUUACAUGAGAUGCUCAUGCCUGUAAUCCCAGCACUUUGGGAGGCCGAGGUGGGCGGAUCACGAGGUCAAGAGAUCGAGACUGUCCUGGUCAACAAGGUGAAACCCCGUCUCUACUAAAUAUACAAAAAAUUAGCUGGGCAUGGUGGUGCAUGCCUGUAAUCCCAGCUACUCAGGAGGCUGAGGCAGGAGAAUUGCCUGAACCCAGGAGGCGGAGAUUGCGGUGAGCCGAGAUCGUGCCAUUGCACUCCAGCCUGGGUAACAAGAGCGAAACUCCGUCUCAAAAAAAAAAAAAAAUUACAUGAGAUGUUCAACACUUUAUGAUAAAAUAGGCUUUGCGUUAGAUGGUUUUGCCCAGCUGUAGGCUAAUACAGUGUUCUGAGCAUCUUUAAGGUAGGCUAGGCUAAGCUAGGACAUUCUGAAUGUUAGGUGUCUUACAUGCAUUUUCGACCUAAUGAUAUUUUCAACAUUUGAUGGGCUUCUUGGAUUGCAGCCCCAUUGCAAGUCAAGGAGCAUCUGUCCUGACAAGAGAGAUUAAAUGGAAACAUGCCAGGAUUCUUGAGGCUAAGGCUCGAAAGCGGCACCUCAUCCCUCCCCUGCAUUCCACUGGUGAAACGCUUCUCAAGGCUGGCACAGAUUCAAGGGAUGGGAAGUGGACCGUGAUUCUUUGGUAAGAGUUGCCACGAGGUUACACCACAAAGACUGAAUACUAAGAGGAGUGAGGAAUAGGGUCAUCAAUGCCUCAAAUUGCACAGCCUGCUAUUGAGGGUUAGGGCCAGGGCUACGGUUCGAUGCUGGACUCUCGAGAUGGCCCUGGCAUUGAGGAAGGGCACCCGCAGCUUGCUGUGGGCUUCACAAUGACACACUGUAAUUACUUGGUAUUGGAAUGAUCUCCCCAUUGACUCAUAUCCAUUUCGAGGUUGGAUGAAGGGUAGGCUUUUCCCGAUGAUGUUUGCAUUUUUAGAGGAAAUAGAAAGCCCACAAUGGCAAUCCUCUGCUAUUUUAUUUGGUUUUCACAAGCUUUCACUUUAGUACACUGGCCAGCAGUCUCAAAACCUGAAAGCGGCCUGGCCCCUCGGCUCCCUGAGUGAG